UAGAAAAGAGUUGUGUAUAUCCCAUUGGCAUACGUGGGCAAGGGGCGGGGUCUAUUUUCCGUGUCAUGGCUCCUCCCUGUAGACUUCAAGAAGUUCCAUAUCCGGAAGUGGGCCCCGUAGACUUUCGUUUGACUGUCGACACCUUUCUCGGUGUGUCAUGUUCACUCAUCAUUCACAGAUAUCCGGCCCUUCUUCAUACAGCUUGCCCCCCUCCCCUCAUUCACAGCUUGGUGUGUUGCUAUCAUUACUAUGUGAUUCCUUACUUCACUGAUGACCCCUGAACUUCAUGUGUUUCUUUAUUUCAUUGCUCCAGGUGUGUCAUAUUCACUCAUCAUUGACUGAUGACCCCUGAACAGAUUUCCGGCCCUUCUUCAUACAGCUUGUCUUCCACCUUCACAGUCAUGCUGUGUCAUAUUCACUCAUCAUUGACUGAUGACCCCUGAACAGAUUUCCGGCCCUUCUUCAUACACCUUGUCUUCCACCUUCACAGUCAUGGCACAACACUCAGGAGUGCUGUGAGUUGCAUGACACCUGCAGAGGCUCCAUACUACAGACUACUACUACUCGGUACUACAGAAACCGGAUCACUUGACAAGCCUGUGUCCUGUUUUGGCCUUCCACACUCUGUAGGAUUGCAUAGGCUCCAUUUCUUCUCCCACAUCACCAUUCCAAAACAACUCCAGAUGUUUCGUUUGUAUUAUGGCCAGUUUCUUUACAUCUGUUACACUACCUGUGUUUUGCACCCAAAACUGGACUGCUCUAUCUGUUUCUUGUUUUUUAUCAUUAUCACUUGCAUUGCUGUAAAUAUGUUCCAUUAGCUCAGUUUUGCAACUAUGAAGUGUACAGUUUUGUUGUUGUAUUACUGUUACGCUGAGCAAAAAGAAACCUCAAACCUUACUCUUAGGCCUAUGUGAAUUCUUCAUGCGUGUCGUGCUCUGUCAACAGUUUGAUGCUUACAAAGCAUUCCAAGUGUCUGUAUGAUGUUCUACCAUUAUGCUAUGCCUUCACACAGUUAAUAACAAAAGGUAUACAGUAUUAAAAAUGCAUAUUCACACUA